UACGUAGGGGGCAAGCGUUGUCCGGAUUUAUUGGGCGUAAAGAGCUCGUAGGUGGUUUGUCGCGUUGUUCGUGAAAACUCACAGCUUAACUGUGGGCGUGCGGGCGAUACGGGCAGACUUGAGUACUGCAGGGGAGACUGGAAUUCCUGGUGUAGCGGUGGAAUGCGCAGAUAUCAGGAGGAACACCGGCGGCGAAGGCGGGUCUCUGGGCCGAUACUGACGCUGGAGGAGCGAAAGCCGUGGGGAGCGAACAGG
rnacentral:rRNA from 1 species